rnacentral:rRNA from 1 species
UACGUAGGAGGCAAGCGUUGUCCGGAAUUACUGGGUGUAAAGCGCGUGUAGGCGGCAGGCCAAGUCUGUGGUGAAAUCGCUCGGCUCAACUGGGCGGGGUCCAUGGAAACUGGUCAGCUGGAGGACGGUAGAGGUGAGUGGAAUUCCCGGUGUAGUGGUGAAAUGCGUAGAGAUCGGGAGGAACACCGGUGGCGAAGGCGGCGACCUGGGUCGAUACUGACGCUGAGGCGCGAAAGCGUGGGGAGCAAACAGG